UACAGAGGGGGCAAGCGUUAUUCGGAAUUAUUGGGCGUAAAGGGUGUGUAGGUGGCGCCGUAAGUCGGGUGUGAAAGCUCGGGGCUUAACUCCGAAACUGCAUUCGAUACUGCGGUGCUUGAGGACUGGAGAGGAGACUGGAAUUCUCGGUGUAGCGGUGAAAUGCGUAGAUAUCUGGAGGAACACCGGUGGCGAAGGCGGCAUCCUGGACCGGUAUUGACGCUGAUGCGCGAAAGCCAGGGGAGCAAACGGG
rnacentral:rRNA from 1 species